rnacentral:rRNA from 1 species
UACGUAGGGGGCAAGCGUUGUCCGGAAUCAUUGGGCGUAAAGCGCGUGUAGGCGGCUCGAUAAGUCUGCUGUGAAAGUCCAGGGCUCAACCCUGGGAUGCCGGUGGAUACUGUCGAGCUCGAGUCCGGAAGAGGCGAGUGGAAUUCCUGGUGUAGCGGUGAAAUGCGCAGAGAUCGGGAGGAACACCCGUAGCGAAGGCGGCACUCUGGGCCGGUACUGACGCUGAGGAGCGAAAGCGUGGGGAGCAAACAGG